UCGGCUUUCCUCGAGAAAAAAAUGCUGUGCGCACAAAGAGCCAAAAAAACAACAACUCUUGACGAAGACUAAACCGAACGAAAAAGUCACAAAAUGUUGUCGUAAUAUAUGCACGAACUGUUCUGAACUGUUUCGGAUGGGAAGCAUGAGAUGUAAAAAAAUGGGAGGACAAGAAAGAGAUAGAGAUGGCGCUUACCCUUAGCGGUGCUCUCACACGUAAUGUUGCUGGGCUGGCUUUGUUUGAAGAACCUUUCGGUUACCACCCAGACCUGAAAACAGUACCUGGUCCAUUGCUCCAGCUCCAACACCACUUCAUGCAGUUGGAUGCCAUUCAUCCGUUUGACCUGCAGGGGGAGAUAGAGGAGAAUUAAGGAAGCAGUGAGCGCCACACAAUGAUGGUGUGCCUGUCCUAGACUACAGUGAGUCAGUCUUUUGCCUUUACCACGUAACCAGCUGAAAGGAAAGCACUUAACUCAGCAGCUACACGAGAAGGAUCGAAAAAGGAAAGCACUUAACUCAGCAGCUACACGAGAAGGAUCGAAAAAGGAAAGCACUUACUCAGCAGCUACACUAGAAGGAUCGAAAAAGGAAAGCACUUAACUCAGCAGCUACACUAGAAGGAUCGAAAAAGGAAAGCACUUACUCAGCAGCUACACUAGAAGGAUCGAAAAAGGAAAGCACUUAACUCAGCAGCUACACUAGAAGGAUCGAAAAAGGAAAGCACUUAACUCAGCAGCUACACGAGAAGGAUCGAAAAAGGAAAGCACUUACUCAGCAGCUACACUAGAAGGAUCGAACAAGGAAAGCACUUAACUCAGCAGCUACACUAGAAGGAUAGAACAAGGAAAGCAUGGGACUGAAGAGUAAGAGCGUACCUGAGGCUCUGAACUGUGAAGUGGGUGUUGGCAGGAGUCCCUGAACAGGGCAGUCAGGUCAGAGUGUGCUCAAGGUUGAAGGAGACAAUGGACACGUUGCUAAAGACUGGGGGCACCACUGAAACAUAUAGACAUAUAGAGAGAGAGGGAGGGAGGGAGACGCAGACAAAAAAAUAUAAAAUGAUAAGACAGUCACACAGAACAGGACAGCCAGAGAGACAGGUAUUAAACAGGACAGCCAGAGAGACAGGUGUUAAACAGGACACCAGCCAGAGAGACAGGUGUUAAACAGGACACCAGCCAGAGAGACAGGUGUUAAACAGGACAGCCAGAGAGACAGGUGUUAAACAGGACAGCCAGAGAGACAGGUAUUAAACAGGACACCAGCCAGAGAGACAGGUAUUAAACAUGACACCAGCCAGAGAGACAGGUGUUAACCAGGACACCAGCCAGAGAGACAGGUGUUAAACAGGACACCAAGCGAGACAGGUAUUAAAACAGGACACCAGCCAGAGAGACAGGUAUUAAAACAGGACACCAGCCAGAGAGACAGGACACCAGCCAGAGAGACAGGUAUUAAACAGGACAGCCAGAGAGACAGGUAUUAAAACAGGACACCAGCCAGAGAGACAGGUAUUAAACAGGACACCAGCCAGAAAGACAGGUAUUAAACAGGACAGCCAGAGAGACAGGUGUUAAACAGGACACCAGCCAGAGAGACAGGUGUUAAACAGGACACCAGCCAGAGAGACAUGUGUUAAACAGGACAGCCAGAGAGACAGGUGUUAAACAGGACAGCCAGAGAGACAGGUAUUAAACAGGACACCAGCCAGAGAGACAGGUGUUAAAACAGGACAGCCAGAGAGACAGGUGUUAAAACAGGACAGCCAGAGAGACAGGUGUUAAAACAGGACAGCCAGAGAGACAGGUAUUAAACAGGACAGCCAGAG